AUCUACGGGAGGCAGCAGUGGGGAAUAUUGGACAAUGGGGGCAACCCUGAUCCAGCCAUGCCGCGUGUGUGAAGAAGGCCUUCGGGUUGUAAAGCACUUUAAGCUGGGAGGAAGGCUCUGUGGCUAAUAUCCACGGGGAUUGACGUUACCAGCAGAGUAAGCACCGGCUAACUACGUGCCAGCAGCCGCGGUAAUAAU
rnacentral:rRNA from 1 species